UUCAUCGUGGAACCGUUCCCA
rnacentral:piRNA from 1 species